rnacentral:rRNA from 2 species
AGAGUUUGAUCAUGGCUCAGGAUGAACGUUGGCGGUGUGCCUAAUACAUGCAAGUCGAACGGAGUUAAUAGCAAUAUUGACUUAGUGGCGAACGGGUGAGUAACGCGUUGGUGAUCUGCCUCGAAGUGUGGAAUAACGUUCCGAAAGGAACGCUAAUACCGCAUGUGCUCUCGAUUUUUAGAAAGUUGAGAGUAAAGGAUUUAUUCGCUUCGAGAGGAGCCUGCGUCCCAUCAGCUGGUUGGUAGGGUAACGGCCUACCAAGGCUAUGACGGGUAGGGGACCUGAGAGGGUGGCCCCCCACAAUGGAACUGAAACACGGUCCAUACACCUACGGGUGGCAGCAGUAGGGAAUAUUAGAAAUGGACGAAAGUCUGAUCUAGCAACACCGCGUGUGCGAAGAAGGCCUUCGGGUCGUAAAGCACUUUUUGGAAGGAAUAGGAAGGAAUGUACUUCCAGAAUAAGUCUCGGCUAACUACGUGCCAGCAGCCGCGGUAACACGUAGGAGGCGAACGUUAUCCGGAUUUACUGGGCGUAAAGCGCGUGUAGGUGGUACUGUAAGUAGGGCGUGAAAGCUCCCGGCUCAACUGGGAGAGGCCGUUCUAAACUACAGAACUAGAGGAUGGUAGAGGGAGGUGGAAUUCCAGGUGUAGCGGUGGAAUGCGCAGAUAUCUGGAGGAACACCGGUGGCGAAGGCGGCCUCCUGGACCAUUCCUGACACUCAGACGCGAAAGCUAGGGUAGCAAACGGGAUUAGAGACCCCGGUAGUCCUAGCCCUAAACGAUGUAGACUAGGCGUCGGAAGUUUAAUCACUUUCGGUGUCCAAGCUAACGCGAUAAGUCUACCGCCUGGGGACUACGGCCGCAAGGUUAAAACUCAAAUGAAUUGACGG